UACGAAGGGGGCUAGCGUUGCUCGGAAUUACUGGGCGUAAAGGGCGCGUAGGCGGAUACUUAAGUUAGAGGUGAAAGCCCAGGGCUCAACCCUGGAACAGCCUUUAAUACUGGGUAUCUUGAGUUCGGGAGAGGUGAGUGGAACUCCGAAGUGUAGAGGUGAAAUUCGUAGAUAUUCGGAAGAACACCAGUGGCGAAGGCGACUCACUGGCCCGAUACUGACGCUGAGGCGCGAAAGCGUGGGGAGCAAACAGG
rnacentral:rRNA from 1 species